rnacentral:rRNA from 1 species
UAAUUGUUGAGUUUGGUGAUGGCUCUGAUUGAAUACUGUCCAAGUGCUUGACACAUGCUAAUCGUACGUUUUAAUUUAUACUAGACGUUAUUUUAGGGGUUACAGUCCCGUUGGGGUAUAAAUUAAAAAGUGGUGUACAGGUGAGUAUAAAGAUAUAAUUCGCCGGCCUUAAAGAGAAGGUAAAUCCUUCAUAAUAAAUAAAAGGAUUAAAUUCCUGCUUUAAGAGGAAGAUAAAUAUCUUCGGGAUAGGUAGUAGUUAAGGUGAUGACUUAACUAGCCUACAACUCUCGUAGUCGUAUCUGAAAGGUUGAUCGACCACAUUGGGUCUGAAAAAACCCCAAUGCAUAUUAGUACAGCAGUGAGGAAUAUUGGUCAAUGGCCUAACGGCUGAACUGGCAACUUGGAAAAGUGACAAGUCCUAUUUUGAUUAUGGCUGUAGAUUUCGCCCCGCGAAAUCCCAAAGCUACUAAAAAUAAUUUUUAGGAUUGUAUUGUUGUAGAAUAAAACUUUGUUUAUAUAUUGAUAAUGACAAUAUAUAUAUUGCGUCUUGACUAAUUACGUGCCAGCAGUCGCGGUAAUACGUAAGAGACUAGUAUUAUUCAUCUUAAUUAGGUUUAAAGGGUACCUAGACGGUCAAUAUAACUUAUAUAAUGUUAGUACUUGACUAGAGUUUUAUAUAUGAGAGGGGAGUACUUGAGGUGGAGAGAUUAAAUUCAGUAAUACCAAAGGGACUCGGUAACGGCGAAGGCACCCCUUUAGGCAAAAACUGACGUUGAGGGACGAAGGCUUAGAUAACAAACAGGAUUAGAUACCCAAGUAGUCUUAGCAGUAAACGAUGAAUGCCAUAAAUUAGAUGAAAGAUUUAAUAAUUUAAUUCUUCAGUAAAGAAUUAAUAUUAAAUAUUAUUUGGUUUAAAAAUGAAAGUAUAAGCAUUCCACCUCAAGAGUAAUGUGGCAACGCAGGAACUGAAAUCACUAGACCGUUUCUGACCCCAGUAGUGAAGUAUGUUGUUUAAUUCGAUGAUCCUCGAAAAACCUUACCACAAUUUGUAUAAUUACAGGUGUUGCACGGCUGUUUCCAGUUAAUGUUGUGAAACUAUGGUUUCCAUGAAAUUAACGAAAUCCCUGACUUUAUUUUUUUUUAUUACGAAUGCUGUGCAAGCUAAAGCUCAGAAUAGAGACUUCGUUACGAUAAAGUAUUAAAUACUUAAAAAUAGAAGAAUAAAAAAAGGGGACAAAGACAAGUCAUCAUGGCCUUGAUAUUGUGGGCUAUAGACGUGCCACAUAUUCCUAUACAAAGAGAUGCAAAAAUGUGAAUUUAAGCUAAUCUCAAAAAAUAGGAUAAAAUUUUUAUGGAUUGUAGUCUGAAAUUCGACUAUAUGAAUAAGUAAUUACUAGUAAUCGUGUAUCAUCAUGGCACGGUGAAUUUACUUCGGAUUGGUACUAAUAACUCGUCACAUGCUGAAAAGAACUUAUGCAAUAAGUUUGCUUUCUUAAUAAUUAGUAAAAAAAACAUGUAGGUUUUGUCAAGGAAUUUAACAAGUUAGGCCUCUGUAUUCUUCGGAUUAGUAUGCUAGUCAUUGUAUAUGUCUAUUAUUAGGGAUCUUCGUAUGCGAGGUUCUAAUUAGUGUUAAGUCGAAAUACAGUUCGUGUAGUGGAAGUUGCACGGGAUUGAUUAAUUUU